UAAGGAAUAUUGGUCAAUGGGCGAAAGCCUGACCCAGCAACGUCGCGUGAAGGAUGAAGUAUUUCGGUAUGUAAACUUCGAAAGAAUAGGAAGAAUAAAUGACGGUACUAUUUAUAAGGUCCGGCUAACUACGUGCCAGCAGCCGCGGUAAUACGUAGGGACCAAGCGUUGUUCGGAUUUACUGGGCGUAAAGGGCGCGUAGGCGGCAAUUCAAGUCAUCUGUGAAAUCUCCGGGCUUAACUCGGAACGGUCAGAUGAUACUGCUUUGCUAGAGUGCAGAAGGGGCAAUCGGAAUUCUUGGUGUAGCGGUGAAAUGCGUAGAUAUCAAGAGGAACACCUGAGGUGAAGACGGGUUGCUGGGCUGACACUGACGCUGAUGCGCGAAAGCCAGGGGAGCAAACAGGAUUAGAUACCCGUGUAGUCCCUGAGCGGGCUGGCAAGGCGCAU
rnacentral:rRNA from 1 species